AGCACUUAUGUUUGUGUCUGUGGAAAGGGUGGGAAAAACGUAUAAGACGGGUCCAAAAGUAAAUUCUCUUGUACCCCAGAACUCAUUCUUCUGAGUGAGUUUUGAUACCUGUAAGAAGGAAUAUG
ensembl:snoRNA Gm22382 predicted gene, 22382